GAUGAACGCUGGCGGCGUGCCUAAUACAUGCAAGUCGAGCGAACAGACGAGGAGCUUGCUCCUCUGACGUUAGCGGCGGACGGGUGAGUAACACGUGGAUAACCUACCUAUAAGACUGGGAUAACUUCGGGAAACCGGAGCUAAUACCGGAUAAUAUAUUGAACCGCAUGGUUCAAUAGUGAAAGACGGUUUUGCUGUCACUUAUAGAUGGAUCCGCGCCGCAUUAGCUAGUUGGUAAGGUAACGGCUUACCAAGGCAACGAUGCGUAGCCGACCUGAGAGGGUGAUCGGCCACACUGGAACUGGGACACGGUCCAGACUCCUACGGGAGGCAGCAGUAGGGAAUCUUCCGCAAUGGGCGAAAGCCUGACGGAGCAACGCCGCGUGAGUGAUGAAGGUCUUCGGAUCGUAAAACUCUGUUAUUGGGGAAGAACAAAUGUGUAAGUAACUAUGCACGUCUUGACGGUACCUAAUCAGAAAGCCACGGCUAACUACGUG
rnacentral:rRNA from 1 species